CCUCCAUUUUUGAGAUUCCUGAAAGGUGACCAGGUGAAAGCAGAGCCUAACUUCCUGGGGAAAUGGUCUCAGCGCAGUGAAUGCUAUAUUCAGAGGUAGGAAGACUCUGGAUGUGAACUACUUCGUGUUUCUUUUGUAAAAUUACCAAAAAAAUAAGGAAUAUCCACAGAAGCGGAAGUAGGGAUGCGGAAGGAGAGGAUGAGUUUAGACUAAGCUCUUUUGUCACCUCACUUCUGCUUUUGAAGUCCCACAGCUCCGUAAGGAUCCUAAAACUGGGAGCGGUGGCUCUAGGAGGAUGUGCAUCUUUCCUUGGGUUUUCCCUGGAAAGACAGAAUGAAUUCACAUUCCCACCUGCAGUGGCUGAGAAGUCCCCUUUCCCCCACUUCCUUG